UUGAAGGGUGUCCUCCCGCCCCGGGGGGAGGGAAACAGAGGCACUUACCAGCCUGUCCUGGCAGGGACCCGGCAGCCCCCAGCAAUGCAGCUUCGGGCAGCAGGGAUUUCGGGGAGCCUGGGGGGGCACCCCUGGGUGACAGCCCCCGGCCGUGGUUAACGGCUUGGGGAGAGGAGGCGGGCUGGUUGGUGGCUGGAGGACUUUUUUUAUCAUUGCUAUUCUUUUUAUUUUUGCAUUUUGUGUGGGUUCCCAGUGUUGCGUGGAAGCACUGCAGGCGAUGGGUGCCCGGCUCAGGAGGUGACCGCCUGCCCUGUCACCCGUGGGCUGGUGAAGCACACGAGGAGGAGCACGUCGCCUGGUGCUGCAAGACAUGGCCCAGCGACCGUGGCGAAGGAUGGGGCUGAAGCCCCCCGCUCCGGCAGCCCUCGGGGUGCUGCUGGUCCUGGCCCUCCUGGCCCUCGCCCACUUGCUCCCCCCGCCGGACCGCUCCCCCCACCCGCUGCCAGCAUCGUCCCCCCCAGGUUCCCGGCAGGAGGGGGCUGCCCCCUUAUCCAGGGGACGAGCCCACGGCAAAAGGCUCCCUGUACCCCCCACUCACCUGCGGCGGGGCCAGCCCCACGGCCGGGGCAGGAGGCGACGGCGGGGGGUGGCGGGGGAUAUCCCCCCAUGGCUCUCCGACGACGAUCUCCAGAAGAUGCGGCUGCUGGCUGAAGGGCAAGUGGUAUCCAAAACCCGUGUCCCGGCCCACGGGCAGGUCCUGCGAGUGGGGCUACGGGCCGUGGGGGACCCCGAGAGGGACGCCUCACCAGCCAGCCCGGAGGGGGACUGCCAGGACGGGCGCUGCGGGCUCAUCAAGCGCCCCGGGGACCUCUACGAGGUGCUGGCCUUCCACCUGGACAGGGUGCUGGGGCUGAACCGCAGCCUGCCCGCCGUGGCCCGGCGCUUCACCAGCCGCCUCCUGCCCUACAGCUACACCGACGGCUCCCUGCGACCCAUCAUCUGGUGGGAGCCCGACCUCCGGCACCUGGAGGACGCCAACAACGACCAGAACUCCUGUGCCCUGGGGUGGCUGCAGUACCAGGAGAUGCUGCGGCCCCACGGACUGACGCCGGCGGCCAGGGAUGCUCCUUGCUCCAGCAUCCCACACGGCGAGUGGAGCCGCCUGGCCCUCUUCGACUUUCUCCUUCAGGUUCACGACCGCUUGGACCGCUACUGCUGUGGGUUUCAGCCCGAUCCCUCCGAGCCCUGCAUGGAGGAGAUGCUCCACGAGAAGUGCCGAAACCCAUCGGAGUUAGUCCUGGUCCACAUCCUGGUCCGGAGGAGCGCGCCGUCCCGCCUGGUGUUCAUCGACAACGCGGGCAGGCCACAGCACCCCGAGGAGAAGCUCAACUUCAGGCUCCUGCAAGGCAUAGCCAGCUUCCCGGCGGCGGCGGUGGCCACGCUGCGGUCGGGCAGGUUGAGGAACCUGCUGCUGGAGUCGCUGCGCGUGGACCGGGAGCUCUGGGAGAGCCAGGGGGGCGGUGAGGGGCUGGGACCCUUCCUUCGGACCAUCGAGAAGCGGGCGAGCAUCCUGCUGCGUUACAUCCAGGAGCGCAACCUGACGGUGUUCGAGGAGCCACCGCGCUGAACCGGCCUCCCCCCCGCCCCGGCACGGCGCGCCUUGCAAACCCCAGCGACCAGGGAUGUGCCUCACCCCCUUGGCGUGGGCAACGUGAGGCUGCGUGCGGGUACUUUCCUCUCCUAAAUGUGUGUCCCCCGCCCCGUAGGAUGCCCCGGAGAGGGAGACGGGGUUAGAGAGAGUAAGAAAGAGGAGGAGACAUCUCCUGAAACAACCCACAACUGCUUGAGAAAGGCAGCAGAUAUCAAGUAAUGAUCUCAGCGUGGAUUUUUCAAAGGAGGGGUGCAUCCGUGAGAUUUUUUUGGGUGCCUUCACCCCCUCACCCUAGUAGCUUUGAAAGUUGGAGGCUUGGACAGUUGAACAGCUUACGGGGACCCCGGGAAGUGUUAAAGAAGGAGCAAGAGGAACUGCUCAAGGCUGGGGGGAACUCGCUGGCAGCCUUUCCACGGCUUUCGCCGGGCUUUUUGACGACACCUUCGCUGUUUCCAAAACAUCGCAGGCGGAGAGACUGGAGCGGUGCGGGGGGAAGCAGAGGGGAGCUUUCUAAAUGGAUUAAGCAGGGCCAAGUCACUCAAGCCGAGCUCUGUCUUCCCCCCACUCUCCGUGGGGGUGGUGAUGUGUGCCUGGGCACGAGCCCCUGCCCAAAUCUGGGGCCGGGCAGGACCCGGCACCGCAGGCAGCACCCGGCGGCAGCUGCUCCGUGGUGCUGUGCCCGGCCAGCGCCGUGCGACGUGUGAUGAUGUGUGAUGUGUGCCAUGGCUCGGCAGGCCUGGGCUGCUGCCAAGGUGCCUUUUGAGCGUGGGAUCUGAAGAUUUAAAUCUCUCGCUGGCUCUUUCCCUUCGCUGUCGGGGGCUUAAAAGGCAAACCGAACCCCGAGCUCUGCCACUUGUGGAAAGCGCUCCUGCCUGCCCUCCUAGGCACGGCUGCGCGGAACUCUUUCUGAGGCUUGCAGAAAUAUCUUUUAGCAAAAAUGCCAGGCUAUUUCAGCAGGAGGCCAUCGAGUGCAAAAUGCUUCCUGAGCACGCUGGCACCUCCGGCAGACCCCACUCCACUCCUGUCAGCCCUCGGGCUCUUGCCCAGCAGCCCGCUGCGGUGGGGCACAGCCGCAUCCCAGCCAGGCAGCUCAUCAAGUGUCAGGGCCGAGACAUAAUUCAAAAGCAGAAUGAGCAGGAGGAAAAAAGGCACAGGGAUGGGGUCUGCCGGAGCCUCUCGCUCUCCGCAGGGCGUUUCCCAGCUGAGGCAUGCAGUCAGUGUUCUCUUGCCAGGAGCAGCCGGUCCUCGACCUGUGGGCUGAUGGUUUGCCAGCAGAAAAAAGGCUUUUUGAAGGAGCCUCGGGGAGCAGUCCUCUGUUUUUCCAAGUGGGACCUCCAUGCUUGAGGCACCCCAAGUCGCUCAUGCCUUUGGAGAGUCUCGGUGAGACCGGCAUGGAGACCUGUGGGAAUCGGUGCCUCCCCUGCUCCGUCCCUCAGCGUCAUGUCAGUUUGAGUGUCUGCAAGCAUGCCUAUCAUCCACGCUGACAAACAUAAGCAAUUACUUUUUUUUUUUUUUUUCCCCAUUUUCCUCUUGCUGGAGAGAAGAUGGAGCGAGGUGUGGGUGAACAUGAAUCAAUAAGCACGAGUGUUCUCAGAAAGCGUCAGCACGCAGCUUUGCCGUCACAUCAGCGUCCGGAGCACCAGCACCAUCUUCCUGGAGUCCUGCCCUCCGGCCAGCCAGAGAAAGCCUUUCCCCCAGCACUCUCUCCACCUCAUGAGUUAUCACCCCAUUUGCUAUGCCACGGGAUGGAUGACUGUUGGGCAAGCCCCACUAAAGCCCAGAUCAUGGGGGUUCAUUAUCGGGGGGUGAGCUUAGCCUGUAAGCAUGGAGGAGAACAAAAUAACUCAUCCUGGGUCCUGUGAAAAGCCAUGCCCAAGCACAACCUUAUAUGAAUAAAGGAGACUAAGUGUAACAUAAAUCCAGAAAAUAUGCUGUGAAAAGCUACGUGGUAACAAAAACAUUAGUUAGGAUGUGUAGCAUCAGUCAUAGUCUUGUUUUUCUCAUUAAAAUUAGAAAUUUAAUUAAAAGAGAGGGUUUUGUCCCGAGUAAGCCAAGUUCUCAGCAAGAAGCGAGGGGAAGGUGAGGCACUGUGCGGUGGCUAAAGCUGUAGGCUUUGCUGUGCUGGAACAGCAGCUCUUCCCUUGCCUCUGGUUGCAUCUGCUUGACCUUAACAUUGCACAAAGUAGUGGGGAUUUUUCUGUUGGUUUUUUUUUUUUUUUUUUUUUUUUUUUGCAUUUCCUUAGUUGAAACAUGUGAGUUUGCUGGCUAAACACAUAUGGAACAUC